GUGAAUCAUCGAAUUUUUGAACGCAAAUUGCACUCUCUGCGGAUAGGAUGCCUGUUUGAGUUUCAGGCUAAGAAAAUAUACAUAGUGGCUGUUACGCUGUAACAUGCGGCGGAAAUUGGGUCAUCUUAAACCUUUGGGUUUAAUCGGCUUAAAAUUUUCUUUACGAUUCCAAUAACGAUGCUAAGAUUUGAUUUUAUUAUACUUUUAGGU
rnacentral:misc_RNA from 1 species